rnacentral:rRNA from 1 species
GACGAACGCUGGCGGCGCGCUUAAUACAUGCAAGUCGAGCGAGAACCAGGGCUUCGGCCCUGGGGACAGCGGCGAACGGGUGAGUAACACGUGGAUAACCUACCCUCGGCACCGGAAUAGCCCGGGGAAACUCGGAUUAAUGCCGGAUAGCCCCACAUCCUCUCGAGGAACGUGGGAAAGGUAGCUUCGGCCUCUGGCCGGGGAGUGGUCCGGCGGUGGAUUA